rnacentral:rRNA from 1 species
AAGCCUGAUGCAGCGACGCCGCGUGAGGGAUGACGGCCUUCGGGUUGUAAACCUCUUUCAGUAGGGAAGAAGCGAAAGUGACGGUACCUGCAGAAGAAGCACCGGCUAACUACGUGCCAGCAGCCGCGGUAAUACGUAGGGUGCGAGCGUUAUCCGGAAUUAUUGGGCGUAAAGAGCUCGUAGGCGGUUUGUCGCGUCUGUCGUGAAAGUCCGGGGCUUAACCCCGGAUCUGCGGUGGGUACGGGCAGACUAGAGUGCAGUAGGGGAGACUGGAAUUCCUGGUGUAGCGGUGGAAUGCGCAGAUAUCAGGAGGAACACCGAUGGCGAAGGCAGGUCUCUGGGCUGUAACUGACGCUGAGGAGCGAAAGCAUGGGGAGCGAACAGGAUUAGAUACCCUGGUAGUCCAUGCCGUAAACGUUGGGCACUAGGUGUGGGGACCAUUCCACGGUUUCCGCGCCGCAGCUAACGCAUUAAGUGCCCCGCCUGGGGAGUACGGCCGCAAGGCUAAAACUCAAAGGAAUUGACGGGGGCCCGCACAAGCGGCGGAGCAUGCGGAUUAAUUCGAUGCAACGCGAAGAACCUUACCAAGGCUUGACAUGUUCUCGAUCGCCGUAGAGAUACGGUUUCCCCUUUGGGGCGGGUUCACAGGUGGUGCAUGGUUGUCGUCAGCUCGUGUCGUGAGAUGUUGGGUUAAGUCCCGCAACGAGCGCAACCCUCGUUCCAUGUUGCCAGCACGUARUGGUGGGGACUCAUGGGAGACUGCCGGGGUCAACUCGGAGGAAGGUGAGGACGACGUCAAAUCAUCAUGCCCCUUAUGUCUUGGGCUUCACGCAUGCUACAAUGGCCGGUACAAUGGGUUGCGAUACUGUGAGGUGGAGCUAAUCCCAAAAAGCCGGUCUCAGUUCGGAUUGGGGUCUGCAACUCGACCCCAUGAAGUCGGAGUCGCUAGUAAUCGCAGAUCAGCAACGCUGCGGUGAAUACGUUCCCGGGCCUUGUACACACCGCCCGUCAAGUCACGAAAGUUGGUAACACCCGAAGCCGGUGGCCUAAC